rnacentral:rRNA from 1 species
AUGCCAGACUCCUACGGGAGGCAGCAGUGGGGGAUAUUGCACAAUGGGGGGAACCCUGAUGCAGCGACGCCGCGUGGGUGAAGGAGUAUUUCGGUAUGUAAAGCCCUAUCGGCAGGGAAGAAGAAAGACGGUACCUGACUAAGAAGCCCCGGCUAACUACGUGCCAGCAGCCGCGGUAAUACGUAGGUGGCAAGCGUUGUCCGGAUUUACUGAGUGUAAAGGGCGUGCAGCCGGGCUGACAAGUCAGAUGUGAAAUCCCGCGGCUCAACCGCGGAACUGCAUUUGAAACUGUCAGUCUUGGGUACCGGAGAGGUCAUCGGAAUUCCUUGUGUAGCGGUGAAAUGCGUAGAUAUAAGGAGGAACACCAGUGGCGAAGGCGGCUUACUGGACUGUAACUGACGUUGAGGCUCGAAGGCGUGGGGAGCAAACAGGAUUAGAUACCCGGGUAA